AAGUCGUAACAAGGUUUCCGUAGGUGAACCUGCGGAAGGAUCAUUAACACGUUAUCCACGUAUCAUCAUCGAGAACCGUUAAUCGCUCCCUCCGUUCAGAAUGAGCAGCAGCAAGAUAGAGUGACUGGAAGGGUCAGCUUCGCGGCGCCUGGCUCUAUUUGCUAUUCGUCCCGAAAGGCCUGCUUUUUGGCAGGCUUCUAGGUCCGUACUGUUGUAUCUGUAUCGUGGAGGCCCCGCUCAUCGCGCAACUCUCCUUCCAUGAAGUGCGCGGUGGGUAACUUAUCUAACAAUUCAAACCCCUUUUUGCUAGUUGACUUUUAUAUGUUGUUCUUCGCUUCGGCGAGGUGCACACGUUUAAUUAUUUGAACGUUAAAAAUACAACUCUUAGCAAUGGAUAUCUAGGUUCUC
rnacentral:misc_RNA from 1 species